rnacentral:rRNA from 1 species
GAUGAACGCUAGCGGCAGGCUUAAUACAUGCAAGUCGAGGGGCAGCAUGAUUGUAGCAAUACAAUUGAUGGCGACCGGCAAACGGGUGCGGAACACGUACACAACCUUCCAAUAAGUGGGGAAUAGCCCAGAGAAAUUUGGAUUAAUACCCCGUAACAUAACGAUGUGGCAUCACAUUGUUAUUAUAGAUUUUUCGCUUAUUGAUGGGUGUGCGGCUGAUUAGAUAGUUGGCGGGGUAACGGCCCACCAAGUCUACGAUCAGUAGCUGAUGUGAGAGCAUGAUCAGCCACACGGGCACUGAGACACGGGCCCGACUCCUACGGGAGGCAGCAGUAAGGAAUAUUGGACAAUGGACGCAAGUCUGAUCCAGCCAUGCCGCGUGAAGGAUUAAGGUCCUCUGGAUUGUAAACUUCUUUUAUCUGGGACGAAAAAAGGCGAUUCUUCGUCACUUGACGGUACCAGAUGAAUAAGCACCGGCUAACUCCGUGCCAGCCGCCGCGGUAAUAC